UACGGGGGGGGCGAGCGUUGUUCGGAAUCACUGGGCGUAAAGGGCGCGUAGGCGGCCCGCACAAGUCUGCGGUGAAAACCCCCGGCUUAACCGGGGGCCGGCCGUGGAAACUGUCGGGCUAGAGGCCGGGAGAGGGCAGCGGAAUUCCCGGUGUAGCGGUGAAAUGCGUAGAUAUCAAGAGGAACACCUGAGGUGAAGACGGGUUGCUGGGCCAACACUGACGCUGAGGCGCGAAAGCCAGGGGAGCAAACGGG
rnacentral:rRNA from 1 species